rnacentral:rRNA from 1 species
GAUGAACGCUAGCGGCAGGCCUAACACAUGCAAGUCGAGGGAGGAGCUUUCGGGCUUCGACCGGCGUACGGGUGCGUAACGCGUAUACAAUCUGCCUUUCACAUAGGGAUAGCCCGAAGAAAUUUGGAUUAAUACCUAAUGGUAUAUAGGAGUGGCAUCACAUUUAUAUUAAAGCUGAGGCGGUGAAAGAUGAGUAUGCGUUCUAUUAGCUAGUUGGAGAGGUAACGGCUCCCCAAGGCGACGAUAGAUAGGGGUUCUGAGAGGGAUAUCCCCCACACUGGUACUGAGAUACGGACCAGACUCCUACGGGAGGCAGCAGUGAGGAAUAUUGGACAAUGGUCGGAAGACUGAUCCAGCCAUGCCGCGUGCAGGAAGACGGCCUUAUGGGUUGUAAACUGCUUUUGCAGGGGAAGAAUAAGGACUACGAAUAGUUUGAUGACGGUACUCUGCGAAUAAGCAUCGGCUAACUCCGUG